GUUAGCCUGAUGCUAACAUUACUCCCACUGGUAACUGAAAGCUUCAGGUUCAAUUACUGAGUGUUGAGUGCAGACCUGAGGACACCCAAACACAUCCAUCAGGUUGAUGAACUUCCCUCUUUGUACCAGCCUGUACCCUGACACUGUUUCCCAGAAUACACCUCACCUCUCUGCUCACCUUCUCAGGACAAAGGACUUAUCCAUUUCCUUCUUUGGUUGUCCAUCAGUUGACGAGUCUCCACAUCCUUCCUGGUCA